rnacentral:tRNA from 1 species
GCCUUCGUGGUGUAGUGGUCAGCACACUCGGCGCGAUUCGAGAGGUGUGUGGUUCGAGUCCCGGUGAAGGCA